GGAUUCCUAGGAGGAACUGACAAGUGGUGCUCUAAAGCCCAACCAACUCCAUUUUUUAAAGAAGAAGCUCCAGUUUGUACGAGGCCUGACUCCAAUUCCAGGAUGAAAGCCAUGAAGACCACUUGUGCGAACAUCAUACGGCAACUGCCCGGACUCCUGGACCCUACCCCUAGCAACGGCCAGUCAGGCUACACUGGCAGGGCCAAGGAAGCAGCUGGGGGUGGAGGUCGAGGGACAUUCUCUGGAACUUGUUAUUGAACAACAACAAAAAAAAAGGCACAUGCCACAAAGAUCACUUCAAAUCAGCGCACCAGAUCCUGCUACUGCACUGAACAUGCUGGAACAAGGCUGACCCAUCCUUCUUAGAAGGAGAUACUGAGGAGACCAGGUCUGCACCACAAGAAGAUGAAAGGGCGACCCUUGAAAAUCAUGUCUGUGGAGUUUAUUUUAAACAGUUCAAACUUUUCUGGCUCUAAAACAUAGAGGUCAUAUUAAAAAUUAAAAAG
ensembl:lincRNA 1700057H21Rik RIKEN cDNA 1700057H21 gene